UGUGACCCACGCACGUGGUCUCCUGGAUGAGGAAACCGCCUCAGAGAGUUUAGAGACGCCCAAGUGCACACAGUGGCUGAGACGAGUAUUUGUAGAGAUGGUGAAGAACAGGAUGCAGAACUCAAAUUCCCAGGUUGGAACCAGAAAAGCCUCCCUAAAGAUGGACCAAGAAAGAGGGAUGCUGAGAAAAGAGACCUCCAGCAAGUCCAGCCAGAGCCUUUUGCAUUCUAAGCAAAGUGGAAAGUACUAGAGAAACCUCGUCCCACCAGGCCUCGUGUGAUCCUCUGUGAGUUCAUGUGACUCUUCUGUGUCAUCUGUGUCAAAAUACUGAGUUGCUUUUGUAGGACGUUAAAGAUUGUUACCCUA
rnacentral:sRNA from 1 species